CCGUGCUAGACGGGGAGCUAGCGGUGCCCUGUAACCCGCAAUCCGCUACAGCGGGGUCGAACUCCUGCCCGAGGUCCAGUCGCUUGAGGAGAGUACUGCAACGGACGGCGUUGAUAGUCGGGCCCUGCGCAAUGCUCAGCGCGUGAACCCCGUCAGGUCCGGGAGGAAGCAGCGGUAAACGCGUCUGGGCAUGUGCCGCAGAGUGUUCCGGCUGGAGCCGGGCGUUGCAGCGACCCUUGGGCGAUUGAGAUCGGAGGCAGGUGCACGG
rnacentral:SRP_RNA from 1 species